rnacentral:misc_RNA from 1 species
GUUCUAAUUCACCUGGAGGAGGAGUGGCUCUGGCUGUGGGCCCCACAACAUAUGCCCCAGCUUUCCAGAAACUGCGGCAGUCGAGACUUGGAAGGUUUGGCGUCGCCGGUGUUAGCCCUAUUGCUUCAGGGGUCGGGUUCGGGUUCGGGUUCGGGUUCGGUUGUGGCUGGGGUAUUGGUUUUGUGUUCGACGAUGACGAUUUUUUACUGGUCGGAACGACCGUUACGCCUUCUUCCUCGUCGUCACUACUGUCGAUUGCGACCACAUUGAUCGGUUGCUGUCCCUUUUUAGGAAGUUGGCGUCUAGGCAUUUUCUCGAGACUGAACUUCUUUUUGUGUUUUUAGGGAUUAGGGCUUUGAUAUCUCUG